GGGGGUAGGGGGUGCUGUGGGGUUUGAGAUCCGAGCCCUGCCGCCAUGCCCGGCCAUUCGGGCCGUCGCUGCCGCCUGUUCUGGCUGCUGGCGAGUUGCCUGUGUGCCGCCUUCCUGUGCCUGCGGAGUGAGCUGGCCACUCAGCCCGAAGAGGAGCCUAGCCCCCUGCCCGUGCUGCAGCUCUCGCUGGCUUUCCUGCUCUGUUACUCUCUGAUUAAAUCCUGGUGCCCAGUUUGUCCUCACCAACCGUGCCCUGUGAGGGCACCCUCGGCCCAUGUCGCCAGGAAAGUUGUCCUGGAGAGUUACUAUGAGCACCAGCUGAGAAUAUCCCCCCAUGUGCUGGGCCAUAGCCGGGCCCAUGUCCGUCAGGUUGUCACUGAGCUGCUCAGGGUAGGCAAGUGUGAACAGGAAGGGAGCACUUUGGCAUUCCGCGGAGAUUUCCUACAGAUUGGCAGCACCUAUGAACAACAUCAGACCAACAGCCUGGACUGCUUCGACCUCCUGGUACCCAUCAAAGUGCCCCAAGCCCUACAGCUGGAACCCACCUUCCACAUAGGCCCCCAGUCCUCUCUGGAGGGCACUGCCAUCUGCAGAGUGAAGCCAUGCAUCAAGCCGGAGUGGGCACGGUGCCAGAGGGAGUUUACUGAGAGUUUCUGUGUCCGCUUUGGGAAGCAGCGUGCCCUGUCCUCUGCCCAGGUCCUCAGGUGGUUCCACAGCAAGGUGCUCCGCUGCCUGAAUGUGAUCCGCUUCCAUUGUGAACAGCGCUGUUCCAUCAGCCUGGCGCCUCUCAAAGACCAGCUCAUCCUCAAACUGCUGCCCAGGGCUGACUAUGUUUGCUGCCACAUUUCAUUGUCGGUGAGGCUGAUCCCAGCCCUGCAUGUGGGGGAUUCCAUCUUCCUGGUGGCCCAGCCUUGCUGCAGGAGUCAACUGCUGUUACCUGCUCUCAGCCCGGGCACCCUCUGGGCUGUUUACCUCUCCAAACACGAGCGCAAGUUUCUCAACUGGCUCAAAGUGCAAACGCCAAACAAUUCCUGCCACUUGAAGUGUCUGCAGAUUAUGAAGGCACUCCGGGACCUGGGCUGCAGAGAGUUUGACCAACAAUUCUCUGUUCAGUGGAACACAAUCCUGUGUUCCUACAACAUGAAAACAGCGCUCUUCCACCUGCUUCUGAAAGGUCCCCUGGCUGCAUGGGAUGACAGAUUCCUCAUGGACAGACUGGAGGACUUGGUCCUGUUUUGGAGGGAGCGGUUACAGAAACAGGAACUGAUGCAUUUUUUCCUCGGGAAUAAAAACGUUCCGGAUUUUCUGACGGUGCCUAGGAAGAUUAAGGAAGUGCUGCCCGUGAACUUGCUGGCAGGUUUUGAUGCUGCUCUCUUGGACCUGGUCUCCUUUCAGCUCCUGAAAACGUGGAAUUGUGCUCAUCUCAUCAUGAAGCUCAACAAUCAUAAACACUUUGCAAGAAAUUGCUAACAGAUGCUCAAAGCUGAAACUGCCUCCAACUUAACAAAUGUCAAACCGUUUCUGCUGCUUCUGUCUGCUCGAUGCUGCCAGAUCUGCUGAGUUUCACCCGCAAUUUCUGUUUGGUUUCAGAUCUUCAACAUCAACAGUUCUUUGUUUUAUUUUAGCUAUGAGACAUUGGUUAAUUAGACAGAAAUGUGCACAACCUGCGAUAGUGGAGGAUGCUUGAUAUAUCAGAGGACACGAGGAAUGUGUCGCCCUUGUUAAAGUUGCAAAUACAGCAACCUGCUCUCCAUCCAAAGUGUUAAAGUCUUUCGUCAAUCCUUUCUGAUACAUCUUCCAUCUGAAGAAGACAGCUCCCUGAUGAAGGCUGUGCUCCUGACUCUGAGCACAUGUUGAUAAGCCCUACGUUUGGCAAUUGACACUGUGUCAAUCACCUGUUUUAAUCCUUAAAUCAAUGAGUGUCUGAAUAACUGAUGUCCCUUUGCCCAUCUUCAUUCAAAGGUUAGUUUUAAUUGGUAUUGGGGAGAAAUAUUUUUGCGAAACACUGCAUUGCUUAUAGAGUUACAUGUGUCAGAUUAUUAUUUGAUGACCACUUUUGGAAUACAGUGGACCUGGUGGUUUUGUUGGCACCUUGUUUUGUUGUUGUUUAUUAGAAAUUGUUUCUGUUUGCAGAAAGGAAGGAAGUGCUGAGGCAGCCGUUAUAUGAAGUCUCAUGCUGCACAGGAAAUACUAGAAUGGUUCAGUUUUAAAAUGAUCCCAAUUUCUGAUAAUGGGCAAUUUUCUUCAGCAAGGGAAACAUUUUGACUUAAUUUGUACAUGAAACAGAUCCUAGCCUCAUGGAAUGUCCAGCUGAACAGAUAAAAGUCCUUUUAUCUUCUGUUACUUUUUACAGUAAAAUAUAGGAACAAUCAGUUGCUAAACAGCUUUGUGUAGCUAGGAUGAUUGGCAUAUUCCUUGCUAAAAAUAGAUGGAUAACUCCAUGCACUAAGGUAGUCAGAAGAGUAAAGGCUGGGUACUGGCAGGUAGUGCCGAUGGAGAUUUCUAUCAGAUCGGCUGAGACUGUGGAAUGAUUUGUAAAACAAGACAGUGACUCCCUUUGAAUUCAGAAACCCAAUGGAAGUCGAGAGAGUCUGUAGGCUAGAAGCAAGACUUUCUACGGGAUAGAACGAAAGUAUCAGAGUUUUGAGAGAUUUUAAAUUUAUUGAGGCCAGAACUGAAGCCUCAAAAUGGUGAAAGAAGUUUGGCCAGUGGAAGGAGAAGCUUCUUGGUCAGGAUUGCCUGCUCCCAUGCUGCUACAAUGCUGUCAGAGGUGCAAAUGGGCACUUUUAAUCACAGGUGGUUUCUGAUAAUUGUGAACAAUCCAGUUCGGCCUGGAUUAGCAUCUGAGCUGCAAUUUGGAAUCAGGAGUCAAGUGUAGCAAUGAUAGUGGAGCUUAGAAAUCCUUUUUGUAGCUUCAAUCUUAAACCUAUGUUGGAGAAAAUUUAUUGUAUAUCUAUCACUUGAAUAAAUAUCCAUAGAGUAGAUUGGUGAGAAUGUAGAGCUGGGCAUCAUUGUCAUGAAUCUGCAAACUUGUUAGGUAGCUCUGGAAGUUGCUACUGAACAGCAGUGAGUAACAGAGUAAAAGGACUGAGCUAAGGCUGCUCCCAAGAACAUCCAGACAAUUUAAAAGAAUUUUGGAAACCCAAUAUCCAUUAAAAGGAGAGAAACUGCUUAAAUAUAGUGAAGAAUAUUUCUAUUACAGGAUUGAGAAAACUCGCUGUCUGAGUCAGGUGAUGCUAAAACAUUCAAUUUAGAAUUAUUGAAAGCCUUCCAAUUGUGUGGAAAGCUUUCAAUAAUUCCACUGUUCGCAGUUUUUGAUUUCAUGCACCCUCCUGAGUUAAUAAUUAUUUACUUUGUAAGUAGAUGAUGUAUAAUAUCAAUUCGAAGCUGCAAUAUGGGUUCUCAGUACGUGUUCUGUUUUAUAAAACAGGAUUGUACAGGAGGAACUGAGACCAAUGAUGCAUCAACUUAGGCAUUUCUGGUUUGGUGAAAUAAGCCAAAUGUGCUCCUAGUACAGACAACCCCAUUUCAUUAACUAAAGAAUACUUCUCCUUUUAAUAUUUCUACACUUCCAUAUUUUACAAGAGA